AGAGUUUGAUCCUGGCUCAGGAUGAACGCUGGCGGCGUGCUUAACACAUGCAAGUCGAACGAUGACUUUUGUGCUUGCACAAAAUGAUUAGUGGCGAACGGGUGAGUAACGCGUGAGAAACCUACCUUUCAGUGGGGGACAACAGUUGGAAACGACUGCUAAUACCGCAUAAUGUUAUUUAGGGGCAUCCCUGAAUAACCAAAGCUUUAUGUGCUGAAAGAUGGUCUCGCGUCUGAUUAGCUAGAUGGCGGGGUAACGGCCCACCAUGGCGACGAUCAGUAGCCGGUCUGAGAGGAUGAACGGCCACAUUGGGACUGAGAUACGGCCCAGACUCCUACGGGAGGCAGCAGUGGGGAAUAUUGGGCAAUGGGGGAAACCCUGACCCAGCAACGCCGCGUGAAGGAAGAAGGCCUUCGGGUUGUAAACUUCUUUUACCAGGGACGAAGAACGUGACGGUACCUGCAGAAGAAGCGCCGGCUAACUACGUGCCAGCAGCCGCGGUAAUACGUAGGGCGCAAGCGUUAUCCGGAAUUAUUGGGCGUAAAGAGCUCGUAGGCGGUUUGUCGCGUCUGCUGUGAAAGCCCGGGGCUCAACCCCGGGUCUGCAGUGGGUACGGGCAGACUAGAGUGCAGUAGGGGAGACUGGAAUUCCUGGUGUAGCGGUGAAAUGCGCAGAUAUCAGGAGGAACACCGAUGGCGAAGGCAGGUCUCUGGGCUGUAACUGACGCUGAGGAGCGAAAGCAUGGGGAGCGAACAGGAUUAGAUACCCUGGUAGUCCAUGCCGUAAACGUUGGGCACUAGGUGUGGGGGGACAUUUCCCACCUUUUUCCGCGCCGUAGCUAACGCAUUAAGUGGCCCCGCCUGGGGAGGACGGCCGCAAGGCUAAUACUUAAAAGAAUUGACGGGGGCCCGCACUAGCGGCGGGAGCAUGUGGAUUAAUUUGAUGCAACGCGAAGAACCUUACCAAGGCUUGACAUGAACCGGAAAGGCCUGGAAACAGGUCCCCCACUUGUGGCCAGUUUACAGGUGGUGCAUGGUUGUCGUCAUCCUUAGGUCGUGAGAUGUUGGGGUUAAGUCCCGCAACGAGCGCAACCCUCGUUUUAUGUUGCCAGCGGGUUAUGGGGGGGACUCAUAGGAGACCGCCGGGGUCUACUCGGAGGGAGGGGGGGGGGACGUCAAAUCAUCAUGCCCCCUAUGUCUUUGGGUUCACGCAGGCUACAAUGGGCGGUACAAAGGGGUGCGAUACUGUGAGGGGGAGCUAAUCCCAAAAAACCCGUCUCAAUU
rnacentral:rRNA from 1 species